UUCCCUUCCAGCAUCUUCCAUUCCCAUUUCGCUCAUUGUCGCUCGUCUUCCACCCCGCCACCGCACGCAUCUAAUCCCGGCGAUGUGACUGCCUAGACCGGCGAGAAGGGCAGUGGUGGAGGCCAGUGGCAGUGACGCAUCGAGCGAGGCGGAGAAGCUAGGAAUAGCCUCGAGUACCCGCGGUCGCCGUGCGUGGCACUCAGAGUUCGCCAUGAUGGAUCUGGCGGAUGGCGGUGCCUUUACCAGGCCAAAUCAAACGGCGGAUGCGAUUCAGGUGAAGCUGAAGAAGGUGCUGAGGGCCUCAGCCAGCCAUCCUUCAGGAAGCAUAAAGCUCGUUACCAACGAGGAAGUUUCUGUUGUAAGCUGUCUUCUUGGAUGAUUGGUUGCACCACCGGAAUAGAGUAGACGACGUUUAUAACAAUAUCAUCUGAGUUAGAGUCGAGUCGAGCUUGUCUUGGAAUUCCGGAUUUGUCAUAGAAAGUCUGAGAUCUUGUUAAUGAUAAAGGAGGGGAGAAAAACAAGAAGCAAGACAACAAGUGUUUGCAGCCAAGGUGGUGUCUCUCAAGCUUUUCUCACACUUAAAAAGAAGGCUACUCAAAAGAGGAGGCUACAAGAAUUAAUGGAGCAAGAGAUGGAGGUAAUACCAGCAAGGUUAGCAUUUACCAAGCAGGUAUGGAAGCCGAAGCGAGUUGUUUCAUCAUCAAGUCAUGGCCGAUAACAUCUAUCACCCUAAGAAGCAACAUGCAGCCGAUGUAUUGUUCAAACAUCGUCCUCAAGAAAUUUUGGUCCAUAGGCUUAUUUUUUUGUAUGCAAGCGUUGCAAAAAUAAGGGGGCAUAUGUUAGCGAUAAAAAUUGAUACGGCUGGCCGUAACGGUCUGCCCCAUGUGAACAAAACGGUCAGACCGGUCUAGGUGAAUUUGUUAAAAUGCAAAUUUGACUUUACCAUUGUGUAGCUCUCUUCGAGACGAUCAAAAUGCAUAUAUAGAAUGUCCGAUUUAGAGUUUGAAUGACA